rnacentral:rRNA from 1 species
AAUCCAUAGGUUAAUGAGGCGAACCGGGGGAACUGAAACAUCUAAGUACCCCGAGGAAAAGAAAUCAACCGAGAUUCCCCCAGUAGCGGCGAGCGAACGGGGAGGAGCCCAGAGCCUGAAUCAGCAUGUGUGUUAGUGGAAGCGUCUGGAAAGGCGCGCGAUACAGGGUGACAGCCCCGUACACAAAAGCGCAUGUGCUGUGAGCUCGAUGAGUAGGGCGGGACACGUGGUAUCCUGUCUGAAUAUGGGGGGACCAUCCUCCAAGGCUAAAUACUCCUGACUGACCGAUAGUGAACCAGUACCGUGAGGGAAAGGCGAAAAGAACCCCGGCGAGGGGAGUGAAAAAGAACCUGAAACCGUGUACGUACAAGCAGUGGGAGCACAGGUUUACCUGUGUGACUGCGUACCUUUUGUAUAAUGGGUCAGCGACUUAUAUUCUGUAGCAAGGUUAACCGAAUAGGGGAGCCGGAGGGAAACCGAGUCUUAAUUGGGCGUUAAGUUGCAGGGUAUAGACCCGAAACCCGGUGAUCUAGCCAUGGGCAGGUUGAAGGUUGGGUAACACUAACUGGAGGACCGAACCGACUAAUGUUGAAAAAUUAGCGGAUGACCUGUGGCUGGGGGUGAAAGGCCAAUCAAACCGGGAGAUAGCUGGUUCUCCCCGAAAGCUAUUUAGGUAGCGCCUCGUGAAUUCAUCUCCGGGGGUAGAGCACUGUUUCGGCUAGGGGGCCAUCCCGGCUUACCAACCCGAUGCAAACUGCGAAUACCGGAGAAUGUUAUCACGGGAGACACACGGCGGGUGCUAACGUCCGUCGUGAAGAGGGAAACAACCCAGACCGCCAGCUAAGGUCCCAAAGUCAUGGUUAAGUGGGAAACGAUGUGGGAAGGCCCAGACAGCCAGGAUGUUGGCUUAGAAGCAGCCAUCAUUUAAAGAAAGCGUAAUAGCUCACUGGUCGAGUCGGCCUGCGCGGAAGAUGUAACGGGGCUAAACCAUGCACCGAAGCUGCGGCAGCGACACUGUGUGUU